rnacentral:lncRNA from 1 species
GAAAAUCAAAUCCAGAACUAUGGACAUGAUCCAUCCCUUCUUGCUUUUCUAAUUUUCUUGAGAAUUCUUUCAAACUUGAGCUCAACCCACGAGUGGCUGCAUAUAUUAUAGUCAAUAAUACUACAGAAAGACCCCAUGAUUGGUGGAUCAAAUCCACUUUGUAUGAGCCAGACUUGCCUCCGUUCAAUUUAAAUAAUCACCGUUUGGG